CGCAACCCUGCAUUCAGUUGCCAUCGGUAAGGCCGGGCGACUCUGGAUGGACUGCCGGCGACAAGCCGGAGGAAGUGGGGACGACGUCAAGUCAUCAUGGCCCUUAUGUCCUGGGCUACACACGUGCUACAAUGGCCGGUACAGAGUGAAGCGAAACCGCGAGGUGAAGCAAAACGCAGAAAGCCGGUCUCAGUACGGAUUGGAGUCUGAAACUCGACUUCAUGAAGUUGGAAUCGCUAGUAAUCGCGCAUCAGCAUGGCGCGGUGAAUACGUUCCCGGGCCUU
rnacentral:rRNA from 1 species